GGACAUGUUUCAUUGUCCUGCUCUUUGUGCCAGUGGAGAGCAGUGAUAUUUCUGAUGUGCCAGAUAAACAACGGAGGUUAAUUAGCAGUGUGAAAGCAUGCUGUCAUCACUGCCAGUCACCUUCUGACAUGU